GCGUGGGUCGGCCCGCCGCGUGGAUCCGGCAGGCCGGGGGACGCCGCUGCCUCAAUCCCCGCGGGUGGCGGAACGGUCCGGGGGGCGCGAUCAGGCCUCCCGGACCGCG
rfam:Streptomyces sp. RSD-27 Contig632, whole genome shotgun sequence.